rnacentral:Y_RNA from 1 species
GGCUGGUCCAGUCAGUGGUGUUCACAACUAAUUGAUCACAACCAGCUACAGAUUCCUUUGUUCCUUCACUCCUAGUGCUUCAUUUGACUAGCUUAAA